rnacentral:rRNA from 1 species
AUGGCGGGCCUCAACGCCACCCACUUCCUCACGCCCUACAGCUCCUGCGGCGGCCUCCACCCCGGCGGCGCCCACCUCGCCGCCGCCUGCGAAGACGCGCGGCCUCCUCAGCAGCAAUACUGCACUGCUUCCACAUGCGGUGGUGUUCGUCCGGGCGCGCACCCCGCCUUCGCCUGCAAAGUCGUGGGACACGCUCCCCUGGGCGCCGUCUUCGGCAGCUUCACACGCCCCUCCCCACCUCGACGCAAACUUCAAGAGCUGAAGUGCGAUCCGUUUUCACUGGGAAGCAAACUGGUCUCAGCAUGCGGGGAUGACCAGCAUCCAUCCCUGCCAUGCUGCGAAUUCAUCAUUAACACAGUCGACGAAUACUGCGUUUGCGAUGUCAUUGAGGUUACUGAGGUGACAAGUGCAGGUAUUAGCGUCUCUAUGAUAUGGACAUUCUACAGUAUCUGUGGGGGCACCAGGCCUAUUCCCGCCGAUACGACAGUAUGCCAUGAACAGUCACCACCUCCCCCUCCUCCUGUGAGUCCACCGCCCCCACCACCAUCUCCCGGACCCCCGGCCUCCACGGGUGACUCUGUACUGAAGAGAUGCAUGGACACUAUCUCUCAUGCGCUGACCGAGGCGGUGGUGGGCUCUUAUGCCAUGUCGGGGUUGCUGGUCGUGUCAGUUGGUACUGGCAUCGCCGUGUGGGUUUGGAAGAAAUAUUCAGAUAAGAACAGGGAGCCGGCGCAUCUUCAUGGAGAACUGGAGUUGCAGCCUGUACGUGCCGGACAGCAGUCUACUAUCAUCGGCACUGGAGCUGCACGUCUGCGGAGGCCAAUGACAUCAGCGCAAACCACUGUUCCGAGCACCCCAUCCAUCCCGGCUGCGACUGCGAGCGCCCCGUCCAUCCCGGCUGCGACUGCGAGCGCCCCGUCCAUCCCGGCUGCGAGCGCCCCACCGGAGCUACUUUCCGCUCCUGCCCCCCGGCUAGCCAUCCUAGAGUAG